GGUUCCAUAGCUCAACUGGAUAGAGCAACUGCCUUCUAAGCAGUAGGUUGAAGGUUCGAGUCCUUCUGGAAUCACAA
rnacentral:tRNA from 1 species